AUACUAUAACUAUAAAACAGUUUCUGAAAAUCGAGAUGGAAAUAAAGAAAAUUCUAAUUUAGAAUUUUUCAAAAUAAAAAAAAAAGAGGAUCGUUUUUUAUGGUUUGAAAAACCUUUUGUAACUCUAGUUUUCGAUUAUAAAAGAUGGAAUAGACCAAAUCGAUAUAUAAAAAAUGAUAAAAUUGAAAAUACUGUAAGAAAUGAAAUGUCACAAUAUUUUUUUUAUACAUGCCAAAGUGAUGGAAAAGAACGAAUAUCUUUUACAUAUCCCCCCAACCUUUCAACUUUUUUUGAAAUGAUACAAAAAAAGAUCCCUUCAUUUACAACAGAAAAAAAAACCUCGGAUCAAGUUUAUACUUGUUGGAGUUUGGUCAAUGAAGAAAAAAAGGAAAAUUUAAAAAACGAAUUUUUAAAUAGAAUUGAAGCUUUAGAUAAAAAAGGGUCUAUUGAAAAUAUACUGGAAAAAACAACUCGAUUUUGUCAUAACGAAACUCAAAAAGAAUAUUUACCUAAAAUUUAUGAUCCAUUUUUACAUGGGAUUUCGCGCGGAAGAAUCAAAAAAUUAUCUCCGUUCCAAAUCAUAACCAAAACCUAUAAAAAAAAAGAAUAUAAGAGGAUCUUGGAUAAACAAAAUUCAUGCUAUACUUCUGAAGAUUAAUUCUCAAAAAUUUGAGCAAACAAUAGAAAAAUUUAAAAGAAAGUCUUUAUCAAUAGAGAAAAAACUUUAUUUUUUUUCCGAACCCCAAGAAGAAAAAAUUCAGUCAGAAGAAGAAAUAAAAAUUUUCAAAAUUUUAUUUGAUGUCGUUAUAAUUUCUAAUAAUGAUCAAACUCUUAUAAAAAAUUUUAUUGAUUUCCAUGAAAUCAAUAAACAAGUUCCUCAAUGGUCAUACAAAUUAACAAGUGAAUUGGAAGAAUUGGAAGCUGAAACUGAAGAAAAUAUACCAACCGAACCUGGAAUUCGUUCAAGAAAAGCAAAACGUGUAGUGGUUUUUACUGAUUUAAAAGAACCGCAUAACGAGAUUUAUACUAAUCUCAAAGAUAAUCAAAAUUCUGAUCAAACAGAUGAAAUGGCUUUGAUCCGUUAUUCACAACAAUCUGAUUUUCGUCGAGAGAUAAUUAAAGGAUCCAUGCGUUCCCAAAGGCGUAAAACUGUUAUUUGGGAAUUUUUGCAAGCAAAAGCACAUUCGCCCCUUUUUUUUGAUAGAAUAGAUAAAUUUUUUUUUUUUCGUUUGAUAUAUGGGGGCUAAAAAAAAAAAUUCUUAGAAAUUUCAUGUGGAAAAAAAAAAUUUUUUUUGAUAAAAACGAAGAAGAACAAUCAAAAAAAGAAGAACAAAGACGUAUAGAAAUUGCGGAAACUUGGGAUAGCUUCUUAUUUGCUCAAAUAAUAAGAGGUUUUAUUUUAGUAACUCAAUCUAUUCUUAGAAAAUAUAUUAUAUUACCUUUAUUGAUAAUAAUUAAAAAUAGCAUCCGUAUCGUAUUAUUUCAACUUCCCGAGUGGGAAGAGGAUUUAAAGGAGUGGAAACGUGAAAUGCAUGUUAAAUGUACUUAUAAUGGGGUUCAACUAUCCGAAACAGAAUUUCCACGAAACUGGUUAACGGAUGGUAUUCAGAUAAAAAUCCUAUUUCCAUUUUAUCUUAAACCUUGGCAUAAAUAUAAAUUUCAAUCAUCUCAGAAGGCUCGACUAAAAAAAAAAAAAGGAGAAAAAAAUGAUUUUCGUUUUUUAACAGUUUGGGGGCUGGAAACUGACCUACCUUUUGGUUCUACCAAACCAAAGCCUUCUUUUUUUAAACCUAUUUUUAAAGAAUUAAAAAAAAGAAUCAAAAAAUCCAAAACGAAGUCUUUUCCGGUUUUAAGGAUUUUCAAAGAAAGAGCAACAAUUUUCCUAAAAGUCGAAAAAGAAAUUAAAAACUGGAUUAUAAAAAACUUGCUUUUUCUAAAAGAAAAAAAAAAAAAACUUUCAAAACGAAAUAAAAUUCCAUUAGUUGGCCCGAGAGAAAUAUAUGAAUUAAAUGAAACUAAAAAAGAUUCAAUAAUGAGUAAUCAGAUGAUUCAUGAACUAUCUGUUCAAAAAAAAUCGACGGAGUGGCCAAAUUCUUCACUCAGCGAAAAUAAAAUAAAAAAUGUGAUUGAUAAAAUAAAGACAAUCAGAAAUCAAACGAAAAAAAUUUCAAAAGAAAAAGAAAAACUAACUAAUAGUUGUAACAAACUGUGUUAUGAUUCUAAAAUAAUUGAGUCAUCAAAAAAAAGUUGGCAGACAUUAAAAAAAAAAAAAACUCGAUUAAUUCGUAAAUCUUUUUUUUUUUUUCAAUUUUGCGUUGAACAACUGUCUAUUUCUAUUUUUCUAGGUAUUAUUAAUAUUCCAAGAAUUACUACACAACUUUUUGUUGAUUCAACAAAAAAAAUUCUUGAUGUAUAUAUUUACAAGAAUGAGGAAAAUGGAGAAAAAAAAAAAAAUACCAUUUAUUUUAUUUCGACUAUAAAAAAUUUCAUAUCAAAAAAAAAUUUUUUUAGUUAUGACUUAUGCUCUUUAUCACAAGCAUAUGUAUUUUACAAAUUAUCACAAAUUCAAGUUAGUAACUUUUCUAAAUUAAAGUCUUUUUUUGAAUAUAACAUAUACAUAACAUCCUUUUUUGUUAAGAAUCAAAUAAAAGAUUUUUUUAAAGAACAAGGAAUCUUUCAUUAUGAAUGGAAAGAUAAAACCCUUUUAAAUUCCGAAAUAAAUCAAUGGAAAAACUGGUUACGAAGUCAUUCUCAAUAUAAUUUACCUCAGAUUGCAUGGGCUAGAUUAGUAACCCAAAAAUGGAAAAAAAAAAUAAACCAAGACUCUCUAGUUCUAAAUCCAAGUUUAAACAAAGUGGAUUCAUACGAAAAAAAAUUUUUUGAUAAUUACAAAAAACAAAAUUUUUGUGAGGCUAACUUAUUUUUCAAUCCAAAACAUAAACAGAAUUUCAAAAAGGAUUCUAUAUAUAAUCUUUUUUGCUACAAAUCUAUUCAUUCUACAGAAAAAUUUUUUGAUAUGUCUACAGGCCUAGAAAAUUUUUUAAUCUCUUGUUUUCUAGAAAAAUAUAAUAUUCGCAGUAUAGGGGAAAUUUUGCAUAGAAAAUAUUUGGAUUGGAGAAUUCUCAACUUUUGGUUUAGAAAAAAAGUAAAUAUUGAGCUUGAUACUAGGAGUAAAAAAAAAUAUAUUAAGACUAAAGUUAAGAAUUUAUAAAAUAACUAAGACGAGUCUUGCCAAUCAAAAAAUAAAUUUUUUUGAUUGGAUGGGAAUGAAUGAAGAAAUACUAAAUCCUCGUAUAACAAAUUUUGACUUUUUUUUCUUUCCAGAAUUUUUCUUAUUUUCUAGUACAUAUAAAAUGAAACCGUGGGUCAUACCAAUUAAAUCACUUCUUUUCAAUUUUAAUGAAACAAAAAAUGUGAAUAAACAGAUCACCCUAAAGAAAAAAGGUUUUAUACCAUCAAACGAAAAAAAAUUCCUUCGGUUUUUUAAUCUAAAUAAAGAAGAAAACGAAUCAGCAGGUCAAGAAGAGUUUGAAUCAGAUAAAGAAACAAAAAUAAAUACGGAAUCAGCUCUAUCAAAGCAAGAAAAAAAUAUUGAAGAAAAUUAUACAGAAUCGAAGAUAAAAAAACGUAAAAAUAAAAAACAACCAAAAAGCAAUACCGAAGCGGAACUUGACUUAUUUCUCAAAAGGUAUUCGCGUUUUCAAUUGCGAUGGAAUUGUUUUUUUAAUCAAAAAAUCCUCAAUAAUGUAAAAGCAUACUGUCUCUUGGUUAGACUAAAAAAUCCAACCGAGAUAACGAUAUCUUGUAUUGAAAGAGGAGAGAUGAGCUUAGAUAUUCUAAUGAUUGAGAAGAAUUUCACUUUUUCAAAAUUAAUGAAAAAAGGAAUAUUGAUUCUUGAACCUGUUCGUUUGUCUGUAAAAAACGACGGCCAACUUAUUAUAUAUAGAACCAUCGGGAUUUCAUUGGUUCAUAAAAAUAAACAAAAAAUAAGUAAAAGAUCAAAAAAAAAAAGCUAUAUUUAUAAAAAAAAAAGUUUAAAUUUCUUUGUCCCUGAAACUAUUCUAUCCCCUAAACGACGUAAAGAAUUUCGAAUUCUAAUUUGUUUCAAUUUAAAAAAAAAAUGCAAGGGAUAGAAAUUCAAAAUUUGAUACAAAUAUUCAAAACUUGACCACAGUUUUGAAUAAAAAGAAAGAUCUUGAUAAGGAUAAAAAAAACCUAAUUAAAUUAAAAUCCUUUCUUUGGCCCAAUUUUCGAUUAGAAGAUUUAGCUUGUAUGAAUCGCUAUUGGUUUAAUACGACUAAUGGAAAUCAUUUCAGUAUGAUAAGAAUACACAUGUAUACGCGAUUUCAAAUGCAUUAAUGGUAGAUCCUUUUUACUAUAUUUUGACUAUAUAUAUAGUAUUAAGUUACGGUAUAUGAACAAUAUAUAAUAUAAGUUACGGUAUAUGAAAACAAUUGGAUGCACAAAUGUGAGGGAUUUUUUUAAAUUCAAUCUUUAUACAUGAGAUUCAUUGAAUUAAUGACAUAGAUACCACUCAGAGCGAAUUCAUAAAUAAAUUUUUAAAAUCCUCCUUUUUUAGAUCGAAAUUUAAACUUUUUUUUUAUAAAAUUAAGAAUUAAGAAGUUGAUAAUUAAAUUCGGAUCCUUGUACAAAAAAACUACCAUUAUUAUUACUGAUCAGUAAAAUUCAUAUCUUUCAAUUCAUAUUAAAAAGGGAAGGAUUUCUUUUUAUGAUAAAAAAUACAUUCAUUUCAUUUCAAGAAAAAAAAGAAGAAAGCAAGGGAUCUGUUGAAUUUCAAGUAGUCAGUUUCACUAAUAAGAUACGAAGACUUACUUCACAUUUGGAAUUGCACAGAAAAGAUUAUUUAUCUCAGAGAGGUCUACGAAAAAUUCUGGGAAAACGUCAACGACUGCUGGCUUAUUUGUCAAAAAAAAAUAGAGUACGUUAUAAAGAAUUAAUUAAUCAGUUGAAUAUUCGGGAAUUAAAAACUCGUUAAAUUCCAAAAUUCUGAAUUAGUUAAUUUUUUAGAUCUUGAAUUUUUGAAUAAACUUCUUUUUCAGCAAUCUAAUUCAUACCAGAACGAAUCAAGGAAAAACUUAUGAAGAGACCAGUUACAGGAAAAGAUCUUAUGAUAGUCAAUAUGAGACCUCACCACCCAUCCAUGCACGGUGUUCUUCGCUUAAUUGUUACUCUAGACGGUGAGGAUGUUGUUGAUUGUGAACCCAUAUUGGGUUAUUUACACAGAGGAAUGGAAAAAAUUGCAGAAAACCGAGCAAUUAUACAAUAUUUACCUUAUGUAACGCGGUGGGAUUAUUUAGCUACUAUGUUUACAGAAGCAAUAACAGUAAACGGACCCGAACAAUUAGGAAAUAUUCAAGUUCCUAAAAGAGCCAGCUAUAUCAGAGUAAUUAUGCUAGAAUUGAGUCGUAUAGCUUCUCAUCUGUUAUGGCUUGGCCCUUUUAUGGCAGAUAUUGGGGCACAGACUCCCUUUUUCUAUAUUUUCAGAGAACGAGAAUUUGUAUAUGAUCUAUUCGAAGCUGCCACCGGUAUGAGAAUGAUGCAUAAUUUUUUUCGUAUUGGAGGAAUAGCGGCGGAUUUACCUUAUGGUUGGAUAGAUAAAUGCUUGGAUUUUUGUGAUUAUUUUUUAACAGAGGUUGUUGAAUAUCAAAAACUUAUUACACGAAAUCCUAUUUUUUUAGAACGAGUUGAAGGCGUUGGGAUUAUUGGUGGGGAAGAAGCAAUAAAUUGGGGUUUAUCCGGACCAAUGUUACGCGCAUCCGGAAUACCAUGGGAUCUUCGUAAAGUUGAUCGUUAUGAGUCUUACGAUGAAUUUGAAUGGGAAAUUCAGUGGCAAAAACAAGGAGAUUCAUUAGCUCGUUAUUUAGUACGACUUAGCGAAAUGACAGAAUCCAUCAAAAUUAUUCAACAGGCUCUGGAAGGACUUCCGGGGGGUCCCUAUGAAAAUUUAGAAAGCAGAGGCUUUGAUAAAAAAAGGAAUCCAGAGUGGAAUGAUUUUGAAUAUCGAUUCAUUAGUAAAAAACCUUCCCCUACUUUUGAAUUAUCGAAACAAGAACUUUACGUAAGAGUUGAAGCUCCAAAAGGGGAAUUGGGAAUUUUUCUCAUAGGAGAUCAAAGUGGUUUUCCUUGGAGAUGGAAAAUCCGACCGCCGGGUUUUAUUAAUUUGCAAAUUCUUCCUGAACUAGUUAAAAGAAUGAAAUUGGCUGAUAUUAUGACGAUACUCGGUAGCAUAGAUAUAAUUAUGGGAGAAGUUGAUCGUUAAAAUGAUAAUUUAUGCAACAGAAGUACAAACAAUAAAUUCUUUUCUUAGAUUGGAAUCUUUAAAAGAGGUCUAUGGACUCAUAUGGAUAUUUGUCCCUAUAUUUUCUCUUGUAUUGGGAAUCAUAACUGGUGUACUAGUAAUUGUGUGGUUAGAAAGAGAAAUAUCUGCAGGGAUACAACAACGUAUUGGACCUGAAUACGCCGGCCCGUUAGGAAUUCUUCAAGCUUUAGCCGACGGGACAAAACUACUUUUCAAAGAAGAUCUUCGUCCAUCUAGAGGAAAUACUCCUUUAUUUAGUAUUGGACCAUCUAUAGCAGUUAUCUCUAUUUUACUAAGUUAUUCAGUAAUUCCUUUUAGCAAUCACCUUGUUUUAGCGGAUCUCAAUAUCGGUAUUUUUUUAUGGAUUGCCAUCUCAAGUGUUGCUCCGAUCGGACUUCUUAUGUCAGGAUAUGGAUCAAAUAAUAAAUAUUCUUUUUUAGGUGGUCUGCGAGCUGCUGCUCAAGCGAUUAGUUAUGAAAUACCAUUAACUCUAUGUGUUUUAUCAAUAUCUCUACGUGCGAUUCGUUGAAACAGAAAGGUUUAUUCCGUUUCUUCUAGAUAAAAAAAAAAUAAAAAAAAAAACGGAAUAUAUAUAUUUAUCUUUCGGGUUUAUCUUAAUAAAAGGAAUUUGAAUUUGAUAGUUAUAUAUGAGUGAAAAAAAACUGCUCAGAAAUUAGCAGUAAAAAGAAAAAUUAAGUCUCAUUUCCUAUGUACAAAGGUUAAAUGGAAAUAAACGUAAGCGUAAGAAUCGCUUUACCCCAAGGUUGGUUGAUUAGUCAGCCGGGCUUGAAGCGGGUUAAAAAAAAUAUUAACCGUAUGACGUUUUCACUAUCAGUUAUAUAAAUUACUAUACAUAUACAUAUAUUACAAAGUGAUCGGCAAUUAGGUAAAAACGCGUGGAUGGUUAGAAACACCAAAAUACACAAAGAAUUUGUAAUAGAGAUUAACCAAAUUGAAAAGGAUAUUUAUGCAUAACAUAAGAUAACAAAAAAAGAAGGUUAAUUGGGGCUUGAAAUUUGUAGAAAUUAUCAGGCAGUACUCCCCAAGAUUCCGAUUCAGAGUAUGCUCCCAUCCACCGAUAAAUGUAAUGACUAUCAGAAACGAAAUAAUCCUUUAUUUUUUUUUAAGUCCACCUACUUUUUUUCUAAAAAAGAAAGAAAGAAGAAUAGGAACGAAACAAGUAUAUUUUUUUUGAUAGAUUUCGAAAAUAAAAUAGAAUUUCUAUCAUGAAUAAGAAACUAAUAGGAUGUUUAAUUCUUUUUCGUAAUUGAAAAACACGACGGGCUGAAAAACCUAGGUUUAGUUUUACAAGGGGUGCUUUAUUAAAGGAUUAAGUUAUUACUCAACAAAUAGAAAUUAAAAUUUGUAAAGGAUGAGAUGAAUUCCGAAGCGCGUUUUUUAGUUUUAGAAUUUGAGCAGACAGAAUUCCAUUGGUAUAAUUCGGGACCCCAGAUAUAUUUCUAUUUAAUCCAUUUUAGAACACAUCAUAUCCAUCUAAAUAAUACUAAUCUGGUCCUUAUAUUUAUUUACGGCCCCCGAGGAGCCGUAUGAGGCGAAAACCUCAUGUACGGUUUUGUAAUAGCGGUGAGAAUAGUAAUGUUAUCACCGACUAGGAUUAUCUAACAGUUUAAGUACAGUUGAUAUAGUUGAGGCACAAUCAAAAUAUGGUUUUUGGGGAUGGAAUUUGUGGCGUCAACCUAUAGGUUUUAUCAUUUUUCUAAUUUCUUCCCUAGCAGAAUGCGAGAGGUUACCUUUUGAUUUACCAGAAGCGGAAGAAGAAUUAAUAGCAGGUUAUCAAACUGAAUAUUCCGGUAUCAAAUUUGGUUUAUUUUAUGUUGCUUCUUAUCUAAAUCUAUUAAUUUCCUCAUUAUUUGUAACAGUUCUAUACUUAGGCGGUUGGAAUAUUUCUAUUCCGUAUAUAUCUAUGCUGGAGCUAUUUGAAAAGGAUCAAAUUUUUGGAACAACAAUUGGUAUCUUUAUUACAUUAGCUAAAACUUAUUUGUUCUUGUUCAUUUCUAUCGCAACCAGAUGGACUUUACCUAGGCUAAGAAUGGAUCAACUAUUAAAUCUUGGAUGGAAAUUUCUUUUACCGAUUUCCCUUGGUAAUCUAUUAUUAACAACUUCUUUCCAACUCUUUUCACUCUAAAUUGAAAAUCAAUCCAAGAUAUUCAUUACUUGUUUUAAACAAGAGAAAGAAACAAAGAUCAAAUUAUUCAUAGAUAAUUACAAUAUGCUUCCUAUGAUAACCGGGUUCAUGAAUUAUGGUCAACAAACCCUACGAGCUGCAAGGUAUAUUGGUCAGGGUUUCAUGAUUACCUUAUCCCACACAAAUCGUUUACCUGUAACUAUUCAAUAUCCCUAUGAAAAAUUAAUAACAUCAGAACGUUUCCGCGGUCGAAUCCAUUUCGAAUUUGAUAAAUGCAUUGCUUGUGAAGUAUGUGUUCGAGUAUGUCCUAUAGAUCUGCCGGUUGUUGAUUGGAAAUUGGAAACUAAUAUUCGAAAAAAACGAUUGCUUAAUUACAGUAUUGAUUUUGGAAUUUGUAUAUUUUGUGGUAAUUGUGUUGAGUAUUGUCCAACAAAUUGUUUGUCAAUGACUGAAGAAUAUGAGUUUUCAACUUAUGAUCGUCACGAGUUGAAUUAUAAUCAAAUCGCUUUGGGGCGUUUACCAAUGUCAGUAAUUGACGAUUAUACUAUUCGAACAAUUUUGAAUUCACCUCAAACAAAAAAUGGGUAAACCCAUUAAUUUUAUUAAAAAAAGAAUGCAAAACUGUUGAAUUAUAUUAUAUAAAGAAUUUAAUUAAAAACUUGUAUUUAUAGAAUAAUAUUAAGUAUUAAGGCUCAUCCUUUUAAUAUAAUAUUUUCGUAAUUAUUAUCUUGCUUGAAAUAGAUAGGUUGAAAAUAUUAGAAUAAAAAAGCGAAACUGUCUAAUAAUUGUAUCUACAUCAAUUAAUAUUCAUUAGAUUCUAAUUUCACUCUAUUAGAAACAUAUUAAAAAAAAAUUCCCCGGUUAAAUUAAUAAGGUCAUGAAAAGGAUUUCUAUUUUUUCUUUUUUUAAUAAUAUAAUGGAUUUGCCUGGACCAAUACAUGAUUUUCUUUUAGUUUUUCUGGGAUCUGGUCUUCUAGUAGGAGGUCUGGGAGUGGUAUUACUUCCUAACCCAAUAUUUUCAGCCUUUUCCUUAGGAUUUGUUCUUGUUUGUAUAUCUUUAUUGUAUAUUCUAGCAAAUUCCCAUUUUGUAGCUGCUGCACAACUCCUUAUUUACGUGGGAGCCAUAAAUGUUUUAAUCAUAUUUGCUGUGAUGUUCAUGAAUGAUUCCGAAUAUUCCAUAGAUUUCAAUCUGUGGACUGUUGGGAAUGGGAUUACUUCAGUGGUUUGUACAACUAUUCUUUUUUCAUUAAUUUCUACUAUUCUCGAUACGUCAUGGUACGGGGUUAUUUGGACUACAAGAUUAAACCAGAUUUUAGAACAAGAUUUAAUAAGUAAUAGUCAACAAAUAGGAAUUCAUUUAUCAACAGAUUUUUUUCUUCCAUUUGAACUCAUUUCAAUAAUUCUUUUAGUUGCUUUGAUAGGUGCAAUUUCUGUGGCUCGUCAAUAAAAAAGGUUCCAAUUAGUAAAGACCAAAGAAAACUUUGUGUUUGUGUAUGUUAUGAUAUUUUUUUCCGUUCAUUCAAUUUGAUUGAAUACUAUUUCAUUUUUUAAAUAUAAAUUUUUAUAUUUUAUAUAUAUUUGAAAUUUUUUCCCUAAUAUAGUUUUUAUUCGUACUUUGUUGUUAUAUUCUAGUUGAUUGAAUCCGGUGAAUUGUUUUUAUUAUUCAUAUUGAUAAUGAAUCAAAAUUGAUAAGGAGUUGCUCAAUGAUACUCGAACAUGUACUUGUUUUGAGUGCCUAUUUAUUUUUGAUUGGUCUUUAUGGAUUGAUCACGAGUCGAAAUAUGGUUAGGGCUCUUAUGUGCCUUGAACUUAUACUCAAUGCAGUUAAUAUGAAUCUCGUAACAUUUGCUGAUUUUUUUGAUAAUUCCCAACUAAAAGGGGAUAUUUUCUGCAUUUUUGUUAUAGCAAUUGCAGCCGCUGAAGCAGCUAUUGGAUUAGCUAUAGUCUCGUCAAUUUAUCGUAACAGAAAAUCAACUCGCAUCAACCAAUCGACCUUAUUAAAUAAGUAGCAUAAAUCAAAAAAUUAUAGGUUUAAAUUUGCAUAUAUGAUAGGUUAUGACUUACUAGAUUAAAUUUGUGAAAAUUUAAGAAAUCAAAGUAUUUUAGCCCCAUUUUUUACCAAUUGAGCCAGAAUUCAUUAAAAAAUUCUAUUAAAAGAAAUCAUUGCUUCAUCUAGUAUUUUAAUUUAAUAUAUCAUUUAGUUAUAAGUUUACUAGAUUGAAAAUUUAUGACAUUAAAAAAACUAUAGAUCCUAUGUCACAUUCAGUAAAAAUUUAUGAUACCUGUAUAGGAUGUACUCAGUGUGUCCGAGCAUGUCCUACAGACGUAUUAGAAAUGAUACCUUGGGAUGGAUGUAAAGCUAAGCAAAUAGCUUCUGCCCCAAGAACCGAGGAUUGUGUUGGUUGUAAGAGAUGUGAAUCUGCCUGUCCAACGGAUUUUUUGAGCGUUCGAGUUUAUUUAUGGCAUGAAACAACUCGAAGCAUGGGUCUAGCUUAUUAAUACGUUACCGAAAACCUGAUUUGAAUAAAUUUGGAAUACAUUUUAUUUUUUUUAUUGACAAGUACUCGUACUCAAAAAAGUUCAAUUAUAUUUUUUUAUUUAUAUAUUUUUUUGAGUACGCGUUCUUUGGACCUGGUGUAUCUUGUCUUUACCACGAAUGAUUUUCCUUGGUUAACAAUAAUUGUUGUUUUUCCAAUAUCUGCCGGUUCAUUAAUGUUAUUUCUCCCGCAUAGGGGAAAUAAAGUUAAUAAGUGGUAUACUAUAUGCAUUUGUAUCUUAGAACUUCUUCUAACGACUUACGCUUUUUGUUAUAAUUUUAAACUGGACGAUCCAUUAAUUCAACUGUCCGAAGAUUAUAAAUGGAUCAAUCUUUUUGAUUUUUAUUGGAGACUGGGAAUAGAUGGACUUUCUAUAGGAACGAUUUUACUGACCGGAUUUAUUACUACUUUAGCUACUUUAGCGGCUUUUCCAGUUACUCGGGAUUCCCGAUUAUUCUAUUUCCUGAUGUUAGCAAUGUACAGCGGCCAAAUAGGAUCGUUUUCUUCUCGGGAUAUUUUACUUUUUUUCAUCAUGUGGGAAUUAGAAUUAAUUCCCGUUUAUCUCCUUUUAUCCAUGUGGGGUGGAAAGAAACGUUUGUAUUCAGCUACAAAAUUUAUUUUAUACACUGCAGGAAGUUCUAUUUUUUUAUUAAUAGGAGUUUUAGGUAUAAGUUUAUAUGGUUCGAACGAACCAACAUUAAAUUUAGAACUAUUAGGGAAUCAAGCCUAUCCGGUCACACUCGAAAUACUCUUUUAUAUUGGAUUUCUUAUUGCUUUUGCCGUCAAAUCACCGAUUAUACCUUUACAUACUUGGUUACCUGACACCCACGGCGAGGCACAUUACAGUAUCUGUAUGCUUCUCGCUGGAAUCUUAUUAAAAAUGGGAGCAUAUGGAUUGGUUCGAAUCAAUAUGGAAUUAUUACCUCACGCUCAUUCUAUGUUUUCUCCUUGGUUGAUGGUAGUCGGUACAAUCCAAAUAAUUUAUGCAGCUUCAACAUCUCCCGGUCAACGUAAUUUAAAAAAGAGAAUAGCCUAUUCUUCUGUAUCUCAUAUGGGUUUUAUAAUUAUAGGUAUUGGUUCUAUAACGGAUCCUGGGCUUAAUGGAGCUAUUUUACAAAUAAUCUCUCAUGGAUUUAUUGGCGCUGCACUUUUUUUCUUGGCAGGAACUAGUUAUGAUAGAAUCCGGCUUGUUUAUCUUGAUGAAAUGGGUGGAAUGGCUAUCUCCAUUCCAAAGAUAUUUACAAUGUUCACUAUCUUAUCGAUGGCUUCCCUUGCAUUACCGGGCAUGAGUGGUUUUGUUGCCGAAUUAAUCGUUUUUUUUGGAAUAAUUACCAGCCAAAAAUAUUUCUUAAUUUCAAAAAUUUUAAUUAUUUUUGUAAUGGCAAUUGGAAUGAUAUUAACUCCUAUAUAUUUAUUAUCUAUGUCACGUCAAAUGUUCUAUGGAUACAAGUUAAUUAAUGCCAAAAACUUUUCUUUUUUUGAUUCUGGACCCCGAGAGUUAUUUCUUUCAAUCUCUAUUCUUCUACCCAUAAUUGGUAUUGGGAUUUAUCCUGAUUUUGUGCUCUCAUUAGCAAGUGACAAGGUCGAAUCCAUUUUAUCUAAUUAUUUUUAUGGAUAGUUUUCAGGAAAUAAAAAAAAAACAUUAAAUUGAAUUAUAAUAAGAAGUCUUUGCUUUUUGUAUUGUGAGAACCUUUUGAAUCAUUGUACUACUUGAUUCAAAAGGUUCUUGAUGAUUUACUACUAAAACUAAAUUAGAUUUCUUAACUUAGAUGAAGUUAUAUAUAGAUGCUAUUUUUUUUAUUUGGAUUCUUUUCUUUUUUUGUUAAUGUUUUAGUUAAUUCGAUGUAAAUGAACCAUAACUAUGUAAACCUAUUCCUAAAAGAUUGACGCCAAAAUAGCAUAUCCAAAUUAAAAGAAAACCUAGCGAAGCCACAAUUGCAGAAUUUAUACCUCGAGCAUUCCUAUUUGUUUUAAUAUGUAAAUAAAUUGCGAAGAUGGUCCAAGUAAUAAAUGCCCAGGUUUCUUUCGGAUCCCAAUUCCAAUAUGAACCCCAUGUUUCAUUAGCCCAUACAGCUCCUGAAAGAAUGCCGACGGUUAAAAAGAUAAAUCCGAGACUAAUAAUACGAAAACUCCAAUAAUCUAAUUGUUCAAUCAAUUGAUACCUAUAAUAAUUUCUAGAAAAACUAAAAUUAAUAUUUUGUUGUAGUAAAAUAGAAUUUCUUUCAUUUAUGUAGUAAAGUACAUCAAAAGAAAAUAAUUCAUUUAAUAACAUUUUAUUUUUCAUAUUCUUUUUCCAAAAAGUAGAUCCGACCUUGCGAAAUGUAAUGACUAGAAGAGCUAUUGAUAAUAAUGAUCCGCAUAACAGAGCGCCAUAGCCUAAUAUCAUCAUACUUACGUGCAUCAUUAACCACUGGGACUGGAGAGCUGGUACUAAUAUUGCAGACUGAGGCAUGUUGUUUAAAAGACCUGAAGUAGCAAAACCCUGAAUAAAAAUAGCACUUGGCGCAGUUAUUGCGUUUAAGUGAUUUUUUUUUUUAUUAAAAUAGGAAACUAUAUGAAUAAUUGCAAAAGCCCAUGAAAGAAAAAUUAAUGAUUCAUAUAAAUUGCUUAAUGGAAAAUGUCCUGAAUAAAUCCAACGCGUAAAUAAUAAUCCUGUUAUACCAAAAAACGUAAUUACGAUUCCUUUAUCUGAUGAAUCAAAAAAUCCUAUGAUUUCAUCUAAAUUAACUAAUAAAGUUAAAAAAUAAAUUAGUAGUACAAUUGAAACGACCGAAAAAGAUAUAUGAGUUAAUAUAUGCUCUAAAAUUGAAAAAAUCAUAAAAAAUUUGUUAAAAAUUAAUAAAUUAAUACUAGGUUUUACCCGAUUUUAGAAAACAAGUCGGGUAUUAAUUUGAUUAUAAAACUUAUAAUAUCUCUUUUAUAAGAUCUUAUGCCGCUACUCGGACUCGAACCGAGAUGCUCUAGCACUGCUUCCUAAGAGCAGCGUGUCUACCAAUUUCACCAUAGCGGCAACUUGUUCAAAAUAAUACUAACAAGUUUUUACUCAAUCGUCGAGAUUCAAAUUUUAAAUAAAGAAGCUAAUUUAAUGGAAUUUAAAAUUGAUUUUAUUACUAAAAAAAUGCUUUUUCUAAAAAUUAAAACUUCUCCAAAAUCCUUAGAAAUUUUAACUAAAAUUUGCCUAAGUUGCUCAAGAAAAAUGAAAAACAACAAUUGUCAAAAUAUCUAUUUUCAUGCAUCUUUUUAUAUUGUACAAACAUAAUAUUUUUUGAUCGCUUAAAAAAAAUAUCAUAUAUUAUUACUUAUUAGUAUCUAAUAUUCACUUAAUUGUGGAUAGAUACUUUUAUAACUUUGAUUCCAAGUAAAGAAUAUAAGAAUUAAGAGAAAUAAUAAUUCCUAAAGGUAUAAAGUGAAAAUUUUUUGACUUAAAUUAAUUUAAAGAACCUGUUGAUUUCGCUAAAAGAUCUUGUAUUUCCUAGUUAAGAGGAAAUACAAGAUCUUUAUUUAUUUUUUUAUUGAUGGGGAAAGUAAUAACCCCCCCCCUUUUUUUUACAAAAUCAAUAGGAAUCUUUCGUAUAUUUCGUAUAUAUAUAUAUUAUCUUUUUUUUUUAUUUUGGUUCCUAUAGAUUUUUUUAAUUUAUAUGUAUUCUAAAAAAUUGGUUUUUACGUUAGGCUAAUUCUAAUGAUUCUAAUGUUUUUUAUUUAUUUUGUUGUACAAAAUAACUUUUUGAAUUACCUGUAGAAAGCGAUUUCCCUAAGGAAAAAGCUUUCAACGAUGUCCAAUAUCCCUUCCUUUUCCAAAUUUUUUUACGAAUACGCUUUUUCGAGAUAGAAGUACGUUUUUUUGGAACUGCCAUUCAAAAAUGAAAAAAGUUUUUCAGUGGUAUAAUUGGAUGUCAAAGACAUUUAUUAUUCUAUUCUUUCGUACUCCAUAUUGAGUAAUUUUUUUCUUUCAAAUUUUAUUAUAUAUUAUUUUUCAAACAAAACAGACAUUCAAAAGUUUAAAACCCAACUAUUUUUUCCCUUUUUCUUGAAAUUUUUUUUGUAUUUAACGUUUUAAAUCCGUAUAAGAGUGCUCAUUUAAUUAAUCUAUACUGAUAGAUUUAGAUUAUAUUAGAAAAAAUUUUAUUAAAUUUCUUCACUUCAUAUGUAAAAAAAAAUAUCGAUUAUAAUAAUAUUUCUUGAAAAAAAAAAGCUCACUUAGUGUACUGGAAGACAAUCACUAAAUUCCAUAAUUCAAUAAUAAUUCUAAAUAAUCAAACCCAAAUAACUUUUUUUUAUACUUAAUAUUAAGUAUUUUUUUGUCGUGUAAAUCUUUGUUCUAUUCUUAAUAUAUGUAUAUAAAUUAUUGUAAUACGGAAUUAUAAUUCACUUUUUCUGUAUCUGCAUAAAAUCAAAUUUUUUUUUAGUAGUAAAAAAAAAAAAAGACAAAUCGUUUUUUUUUACAGUAACUUAGUAAUAUUAGUUAAUAACUUCUAAUUUUUUGAUUUGAAUAUAUUUCUUUUCAAAGGUUUAUGAAGGAUUAUACUAAUUCGAAAAAAUUUCUAUUUAAGUUUGAAAAAAAUGCGCUUUUUUAUUAUCCCCUUUGAAAAAAAUAUAUAUAUAUACAAACCAGUGAAUAAGAAAUAAUAAAUUUAAGAAUAAAAUAAAAAGGGUUUUUUAUUUUAUGGAACAUACAUAUCAAUAUUCAUGGAUCAUCCCUUUCAUUCCACUUCCAGUACCUAUUUUACUCGGAGCUGGACUUCUACUUUUUCCGACAGCAACAAAAAACCUUCGACGUAUGUGGACGUUUCUGAGUAUUUUUUUGUUAAGUAUAGUUAUGAUCUUUUCGCUCUAUCUAUCUAUUCAACAAAUUUUUCUAAGUUGCAUUCAUCAAAAUGUAUGGUCUUGGACCAUAAAUAAUGAAUUUUCUUUUGAGUUCGGUUACUUUAUUGAUCCACUUACUUCUAUUAUGUCAAUAUUAAUUACAACUGUUGGAAUUUUGGUUCUGAUUUAUAGUGAUAAUUAUAUGUCUCAUGAUCAAGGAUAUCUGAGGUUUUUUUGCUUAUAUGGGUUUUUUUAAUACUUCAAUGUUAGGAUUAGUUACUAGUUCUAAUUUGAUCCAAGUUUAUUUUUUUUUGGGAAUUAGUUGGAAUGUGUUCGUAUUUAUUAAUAGGUUUUUGGUUCACACGACCUAUUGCAGCGAAUGCCUGUCAAAAAGCUUUUGUAACCAAUCGUGUNNNNNNNNNNNNNNNNNNNNNNNNNNNNNNNNNNNNNNNNNNNNNNNNNNNNNNNNNNNNNNNNNNNNCGUGUAGGGGAUUUUGGUUUAUUAUUAGGAAUUUUAGGUCUUUAUUGGAUAACUGGCAGUUUCGAAUUUCAAGAUUUGUUCGAAAUAUUCAAUAAUUUAAUAUUAAAUAAUAGAAUAAAUCUCUUAUUCCUUACUUUGUGUGCAUUUCUAUUAUUUGUGGGUCCUAUUGCUAAAUCUGCACAAUUUCCUCUUCAUGUAUGGUUGCCGGAUGCCAUGGAGGGCCCUACUCCUAUUUCGGCUCUUAUACAUGCUGCUACUAUGGUAACAGCGGGAAUUUUUCUUGUAGCUCGUCUUCUUCCUCUUUUUAUAGUUAUCCCUUCUAUAAUGUAUAUAAUAUCUUUGAUAGGUAUAAUAACAGUACUCUUAGGAGCCACUUUAGCUCUUGCUCAAAAAGAUAUUAAGAGAGGUUUAGCCUAUUCUACAAUGUCUCAACUGGGUUAUAUGAUGUUAGCUCUAGGUAUGGGGUCUUAUAGAUCCGCUUUAUUUCAUUUGAUUACUCAUGCUUAUUCGAAAGCUUUGUUGUUUUUAGGAUCUGGAUCCAUUAUUCAUUCAAUGGAAGCUAUAGUUGGCUAUUCUCCUGAUAAAAGUCAGAAUAUGAUUCUUAUGGGUGGUUUGACAAAACAUGUGCCGAUUACAAAAACUGCCUUUUUAGUAGGAACACUCUCACUUUGUGGUAUUCCCCCCCUUGCUUGUUUUUGGUCUAAAGAUGAAAUUCUUAAUGAUAGUUUGUUAUUUUCGCCAAUUUUUGCAAUAAUAGCUUGUUCAACAGCGGGAUUAACCGCAUUUUAUAUGUUUCGGAUUUAUUUACUUACUUUUGAAGGCCAUUUAAACACUUAUUUUAUAAAUUAUAGUGGAAAAAAAAGUCGCUCCUUCUAUUCAAUUUCUUUAUGGGGUAAAGAAGAAGAUAAAAAACUUAAUAGGAAUUUUGGGUUAGUACCAUUAUUAACAAUGAAUAAUACGAAAAGAGCUUCUUUUUUUGGCAAUAAAACAUAUAAAAUUAGUAAUAAUGUAAGAAAUCAAACUUUUAUUACUAUUGAAAAUUUUGGACUUAAUACAAGAACUUUCUAUUAUCCCCAUGAAUCAGACAAUACUAUUCUAUUUCCUAUGCUUGUAUUGCUUUUAUUUACUUUGUUUAUUGGAGCCAUAGGAAUUCCUUUCAAUCAAGAAGGAAUAGACUUUGAUAUAUUAUCAAAAUUAUUAACGCCGUCGAUAAA
rnacentral:lncRNA from 1 species